CUACGUGCCAGCAGCCGCGGUAAUACGGAGGGUGCGAGCGUUAAUCGGAAUAACUGGGCGUAAAGGGCACGCAGGCGGUGACUUAAGUGAGGUGUGAAAGCCCCGGGCUUAACCUGGGAAUUGCAUUUCAUACUGGGUCGCUAGAGUACUUUAGGGAGGGGUAGAAUUCCACGUGUAGCGGUGAAAUGCGUAGAGAUGUGGAGGAAUACCGAAGGCGAAGGCAGCCCCUUGGGAAUGUACUGACGCUCAUGUGCGAAAGCGUGGGGAGCAAACAGGAUUAGAUACCCUGGUAGUCCACGCUGUAAACGAUGUCGAUUUGGGGGUUGAGCUUUGAGCUUGGCGCCCGUAGCUAACGUGAUAAAUCGACCGCCUGGGGAGUACGGCCGCAAGGUUAAAACUCAAAUGAAUUGACGGGGGCCCGCACAAGCGGUGGAGCAUGUGGUUUAAUUCGAUGCAACGCGAAGAACCUUACCUACUCUUGACAUCCCUCUGACCGCUCUAGAGAUAGAGUUUUC
rnacentral:rRNA from 1 species